AGUAUGUCUUACAACAUCAGAGUUAUUUCACUGAAUUUACAGGAUUAAGAAAUUUAAGCAACACCACCAUUUUGGAAAUUAAUUUAAACGAAGGUUCGAAUUCUCUAGCACAGUGCUCGCAUGGCUUCGGAGAGUACAAUAAACCUCGCUGAAUCUGAGUUUAGAAAGGACGUUGUAACAGAUGAGAUGAAAGUAGAAAAAAAUCCAAGGACAUUACAGACUUUCGACAUGGAGGAUCUACGGCCGAGGAUAAAUAAAGUAUCAAAGUUUUCCAAAAAUAUCUUCUCCCAAGGUUUGAUCAACAUUUCAUUGUUGUCAGCCAACGCCACACGGUUGCACAGAGCACAAUCUUACAACAAUUACGAUCAUCAAACAGCACUAAUUAGUUUAAUAUCAACUUCAGUCGUCUUACAAAUUUUCAUACUGUUCCUGUUGAGCAUAUUAGCCAUGAUUCGAAUCAUAUGCCAUAAACAAGAAAUUUCUUGUUCAAGGAAGUACUUAGUCAAAGCCAGAAUCAAAUCAGCCAUUUUGUUCUUGGUUUCCAUACUGACGGCUGUCAAUAUCUUUAUUUCAGCGUACCAGAACAUGUGACAAGAAACCAUUGUUCCCAAACAUUACAAGCUUGAUGCUUCUAAGUGGGAGGAUUUUUUCUGCAUUGAAUAUGCACAUGUUUAAAGUAUUAAGGCUUAGAUGUGAUAUUAGUGUUAAGGCUUCAUAACAUUUAUUUUUCAAAAAUUAAUACUAUAUAUACUUUUAACAGAUUUUUCUCCUAUCGAUUGAUUAAAUAUCGUGUGCAAGAUUAGGACUGGAUAUUUCGUAAGAUUUUGUAAUUAACAGUGUAAUUUCAAAAAUGUAAGCAGUUAAUUAUAUAUAGAAAUAAAUAGAAAGAGGCAUUCAGGUGCAUAACUAAUAAUUAUUUC